rnacentral:rRNA from 1 species
UAACGGGCCUACCGAAGGCGAUGAUGCAUAGCCCCGAGUUGAGAGACUGAUCGGGCCACAUUGGGGACUGAGACACGGGCCCAAAACUCCUACGGGGAGGCAGCAGUAGGGAAUCUUCCACAAUGGACGCAAGUCUGAUGGAGCAACGCCGCGUGAGUGAAGUAAGGGUUUCGGCUACGUAAAGCUCUGUUGUUGGUGAAGAAGGACAGGGGUAGUAACUGACCUUUGUUUGACGGUAAUCAAUUAGAAAGUCACGGCUAACUACGUGCCAGCAGCCGCGGUAAU